GACGAACGCUGGCGGCGUGCUUAACACAUGCAAGUCGAACGGAAAGGCCCUGCUUUUGUGGGGUGCUCGAGUGGCGAACGGGUGAGUAACACGUGAGUAACCUGCCCUUGACUUUGGGAUAACUUCAGGAAACUGGGGCUAAUACCGGAUAGGAGCUCCUGCUGCAUGGUGGGGGUUGGAAAGUUUCGGCGGUUGGGGAUGGACUCGCGGCUUAUCAGCUUGUUGGUGGGGUAGUGGCUUACCAAGGCUUUGACGGGUAGCCGGCCUGAGAGGGUGACCGGCCACAUUGGGACUGAGAUACGGCCCAGACUCCUACGGGAGGCAGCAGUGGGGAAUAUUGCACAAUGGGCGGAAGCCUGAUGCAGCAACGCCGCGUGCGGGAUGACGGCCUUCGGGUUGUAAACCGCUUUCGCCUGUGACGAAGAGUGAGUGACGGUAAUGGGUAAAGAAGCACCGGCUAACUACGUGCCAGCAGCCGCGGUGAUACGUAGGGUGCGAGCGUUGUCCGGAUUUAUUGGGCGUAAAGGGCUCGUAGGUGGUUGAUCGCGUCGGAAGUGUAAUCUUGGGGCUUAACCCUGAGCGUGCUUUCGAUACGGGUUGACUUGAGGAAGGUAGGGGAGAAUGGAAUUCCUGGUGGAGCGGUGGAAUGCGCAGAUAUCAGGAGGAACACCAGUGGCGAAGGCGGUUCUCUGGGCCUUUCCUGACGCUGAGGAGCGAAAGCGUGGGGAGCGAACAGGCUUAGAUACCCUGGUAGUCCACGCUGUAAACGGUGGGUACUAGGUGUGGGGUCCAUUCCACGGGUUCCGUGCCGUAGCUAACGCUUUAAGUACCCCGCCUGGGGAGUACGGCCGCAAGGCUAAAACUCAAAGGAAUUGACGGGGCCCCGCACAAGCGGCGGAGCAUGCGGAUUAAUUCGAUGCAACGCGUAGAACCUUACCUGGGUUUGACAUGGAUCGGGAGCGCUCAGAGAUGGGUGUGCCUCUUUUGGGGUCGGUUCACAGGUGGUGCAUGGCUGUCGUCAGCUCGUGUCGUGAGAUGUUGGGUUAAGUCCCGCAACGAGCGCAACCCUUGUUCACUGUUGCCAGCACGUUAUGGUGGGGACUCAGUGGAGACCGCCGGGGUCAACUCGGAGGAAGGUGGGGAUGACGUCAAGUCAUCAUGCCCCUUAUGUCCAGGGCUUCACGCAUGCUACAAUGGCUGGUACAGAGAGUGGCGAGCCUGUGAGGGUGAGCGAAUCUCGGAAAGCCGGUCUCAGUUCGGAUUGGGGUCUGCAACUCGACCUCAUGAAGUCGGAGUCGCUAGUAAUCGCAGAUCAGCAACGCUGCGGUGAAUACGUUCCCGGGGCU
rnacentral:rRNA from 1 species